UACAGAGGGUGCGAGCGUUAAUCGGAAUUACUGGGCGUAAAGCGCGCGUAGGCGGCUAUUCAAGUCGAUUGUGAAAUCCCCGGGCUUAACCUGGGAACUGCAGUCGAGACUGUCUAGCUAGAGUAUGGGAGAGGGAAGUGGAAUUUCAGGUGUAGCGGUGAAAUGCGUAGAUAUCUGAAGGAACAUCAGUGGCGAAAGCGACUUCCUGGACCAAUACUGACGCUGAGGCGCGAAAGCCAGGGGAGCAAACGGG
rnacentral:rRNA from 1 species